CGAGUAAGACAACAGGGAUUGCCCUAGUAACGGCGAGUGAAGCGGCAACAGCUCAAAUUUGAAAUCUGGCCUUCUGGUCCGAGUUGUAAUUUGCAGAGGAUGCUUUUGGCGCGGUGCCUUCCGAGUUCCCUGGAACGGGACGCCUUAGAGGGUGAGAGCCCCGUACGGUCGGACACCAAGCCUCUGUAAAGCUCCCUCGACGAGUCGAGUUGUUUGGGAAUGCAGCUCUAAAUGGGAGGUAAAUUUCUUCUAAAGCUAAAUACCGGCCAGAGACCGAUAGCGCACAAGUAGAGUGAUCGAAAGAUGAAAAGCACUUUGAAAAGAGGGUUAAACAGCACGUGAAAUUGUUGAAAGGGAAGCGUUUAUGACCAGACCUCUGUCUGGCGGAUCAUCCGGGGUUCUCCCCGGUGCACUUCGCCCGGCUCAGGCCAGCAUCGGUUUCUGUGGGGGGAUAAAAGCUCGGGGAACGUAGCUCCCUCGGGAGUGUUAUAGCCCCUUGCAUAAUGCCCCCAUGGGGACCGAGGUUCGCGCUCUGCAAGGAUGCUGGCGUAAUGGUUAUCAACGACCCGUCUUGAAACACGGACCAAGGAGUCGAACAUUUGUGCGAGUGUUAGGGUGUCAAACCCCUACGCGUAAUGAAAGUGAACGGAGGUGAGAGCCCUUACGGGUGCAUCAUCGACCGAUCCUGA
rnacentral:rRNA from 1 species